AGUUCCUGGAGGGGCUGCUGGAGGCCCUUGUACAUAUGUGCAGAGGAAACGCUUGCGUCUGAGGAAGCUCCUGUGGGGCGCCUCACUCCCACUCUCCCCACUCCUCAGACCUUGGGCAUGGAAAGUCGGAAUCCCUGGGACCAGAAUGCAACCCUCGUGAGGACGGGGACUUGGCUGUUUUUCUCACUGCUACACCCUGGGUCAACAGUCUUGGGAUACAGUAGCUGGUCAAUAAAUAUUUGAUGACUGACUCCA